rnacentral:rRNA from 1 species
UACCAACACCCCGAGUGGUCGGGACGAUUAUUGGGCCUAAAGCAUCCGUAGCCGGUCCUGCAAGUCUUCCGUUAAAUCCAGCUGCUCAACAGAUGGGCUGCGGAGGAUACUACAGGGCUAGGAGGCGGGAGAGGCAAGCGGUACUUUAUGGGUAGGGGUAAAAUCCGUUGAUCCAUAGAAGACCACCAGUGGCGAAGGCGGCUUGCCAGAACGCGCUCGACGGUGAGGGAUGAAAGCUGGGGGAGCAAACCGG